UAGGGAAUUUUCGUCAAUGGGGGGCGAACCCCUGAACGAGCAAUGCCGCGUGAGCGAAGAAGGUCUUCGGAUUGUAAAAGCUCUGUUGCCGGGGGAAAAAAGGGAAAGGGAAAA
rnacentral:rRNA from 1 species